CAGUAGCCACGGUAAUACGAAGGGUGCAAGCGUUAAUCGGAAUUACUGGGCGUAAAGCGUGCGCAGGCGGUUUGUUAAGACAGAUGUGAAAUCCCCGGGCUUAACCUGGGAACUGCAUUUGUGACUGGCAAGCUAGAGUCUGGCAGAGGGGGGUGGAAUUCCGCGUGUAGCAGUGAAAUGCGUAGAGAUGUGGAGGAACACCGAUGGCGAAGGCAGCCCCCUGGGCCAAUACUGACGCUCAUGCACGAAAGCGUGGGGAGCAAACAGGAUUAGAUACCCGAGUAGUCCCUGUCUCUUAUAC
rnacentral:rRNA from 1 species